rnacentral:rRNA from 1 species
AGGUUAAGUUAAUAAGGGCGCACGGUGGAUGCCUUGGCACUAGGAGCCGAAGAAGGACGUGACAAACGACGAUAUGCCUUGGGUAGCUGUAAGUAAGCGAUGAUCCAGGGAUUUCCGAAUGGGGGAACCCAACAGGUACUACCUGUUACCCACAUCUGUUAAGGAUGUGAGGAGGAAGACGCAGUGAACUGAAACAUCUAAGUAGCUGCAGGAAGAGAAAGCAAAAGCGAUUGCCUUAGUAGCGGCGAGCGAAACGGCAGGAGGGCAAACCGAAGAGUUUACUCUUCGGGGUUGUAGGACUGCAAAGUGGACUCAAAGAUUAUAGAAGAAUGAUUUGGGAAGAUCAGCCAAAGAGAGUAAGAGCCUCGUAUUUAAAAUAGUCUUUGUACCUAGCAGUAUCCUGAGUACGGCGGGACACGAGAAAUCCCGUCGGAAUCUGGGAGGACCAUCUCCCAACCCUAAAUACUCCCUAGUGACCGAUAGUGAACCAGUACCGUGAGGGAAAGGUGAAAAGCACCCCGGGAGGGGAGUGAAAUAGAACCUGAAACCGUGUGCCUACAACAAGUUCGAGCCCGUUAAUGGGUGAGAGCGUGCCUUUUGUAGAAUGAACCGGCGAGUUACGAUAUGAUGCGAGGUUAAGUUGAAGAGACGGAGCCGUAGGGAAACCGAGUCUGAAUAGGGCGCAUUAGUAUCAUGUCGUAGACCCGAAACCAUGUGACCUACCCAUGAGCAGGUUGAAGGUGCGGUAAGACGCACUGGAGGACCGAACCAGGGCACGUUGAAAAGUGCUUGGAUGACUUGUGGGUAGCGGAGAAAUUCCAAACGAACUUGGAGAUAGCUGGUUCUCUCCGAAAUAGCUUUAGGGCUAGCGUCGACAUUAGAGAUUCUUGGAGGUAGAGCACUGUUUGGGUGAGGGGUCCAUCCCGGAUUACCAAUCUCAGAUAAACUCCGAAUGCCAAAGAAUUAUGGUCGGCAGUCAGACUGCGAGUGCUAAGAUCCGUAGUCGAAAGGGAAACAGCCCAGACCACCAGCUAAGGUCCCAAAAUAAUUGUUAAGUGGAAAAGGAUGUGGGGUUGCACAGACAACUAGGAUGUUAGCUUAGAAGCAGCUAUUCAUUCAAAGAGUGCGUAAUAGCUCACUAGUCGAGUGACCCUGCGCCGAAAAUGUACCGGGGCUAAAACAAUUUACCGAAGCUGUGGAUACCUUUAUAGGUAUGGUAGGAGAGCGUUCUAUGUGUGGAGAAGGUGUACCGUGAGGAGCGCUGGAACGCAUAGAAGUGAGAAUGCCGGUAUGAGUAGCGAAAGACAGGUGAGAAUCCUGUCCACCGUAAGACUAAGGUUUCCAGGGGAAGGCUCGUCCGCCCUGGGUUAGUCGGGACCUAAGGAGAGACCGAAAGGUGUAUCCGAUGGACAACAGGUUGAUAUUCCUGUACUAGAGUAUGUAGUGAUGGAGGGACGCAGUAGGCUAACUAAAGCAGACGAAUGGAAG